UUCUCGAAAUUUCUCCCUCUCGAAGCCGCCGCUUGGCUUGGAGGCAGAGAAGAGAUGAAUCCCUGGAGGAUCGUGGAAGCGAUGAUUGAUGAAGACGAGGAUGAGGAGGAGGAGAUGGCGGAGAAGGUUUCUUCAACAGAAAGAUGAGGUUGCUGUUAUUGAUCAUUGGGCGGACAAAGAUUAUGCUUAUUUGAACAGAAAAUUAGGAUGCCAGCAUGCAGAUUUAGGUAUUCACAAUCUUCUUAUAAGAUGUGCUCUUGUUGGAGAAUAACUUAUCAAAAAGUCAUUUCUCAUUAAUUUAAACAAGUAUUUGACACAUUGUACUCAGGUUGAAGGCAAGUAACUGAAUGGUCGAAACUAUGAAUGUUGAUAGUCCACAGCUCAUUUACAGUUUAGACUAGAUAUAUGAUAGGAAGGUCAUGAAUGUAAUUCGCUCACGCCCCACAUGCUGGAAAGGAAAUUCUUACGGUUGGUAUUUCUGAAAGUAGACUACCAUCAAAUACUUCAUUAACUGAUUUCUGGCAGACAUAGUUUGUCCCAUGAAGAAUAUAACUGCCCUUUUGGGUUCCUGAAUGAGAUGUGAUCAUGCAUUGAAGAGUUAGAUCCAGGAAAUGCCUGCAUGAAGGGAGGGAGCAUCUAAGGAUGUCCUAUCAUUUAGAGGAUCUUCUUUGAUAUGGAAUCCUUCAAUUUCUAAGUAUUGCCUCUCCAUUGUUUCAUCUGCCUAGCCUAACUCGAUAUAUAGCAUCAGUCCCUUUGGUUAUGCAUCUUAUGAUAGAAGCUUGGUGGACCAUGGUAUAGAAACACUGCAGAGUUAUUUACUCUCUCCAUGAUUCUAACAAGUCUUACAGUUUGAACUGUUCAUCAAACCUAAUUUCCACCGGUAUUAAAUUCAGUUUGCACAUGUCUUGCCUUGCCUGCAAUUUAUAAAUUUUUCGCUGCUGAAAGCAUCAUCUUAUGAAUCUAACCGCUUUGAGUAUGGAGCACCAUAGCACAUAGAUCAUUGAAUUCUGACUGAGGAAUCAACGUUUCUAGGCUUGCUUCUCUUUCAGGCAGUGCUUCAUUUAGUUACUUGAGAUAUGAACAGGAUAGUGUUGCUCCAUAUAAUGCUGAGCCUUCUCCUCUUCCGAAUGGAGACGCCCAUUCCAAGCUAAUGCUUGAUAACCAUAUGUGCCUUUUUAAUCUUCUUUGUGUUCUGCCCCUUCUAGUAUAUCCUUUCACGGAAGCCAUUAUGAUUCCUUACUGAUAGUGCAAACAAACCAUCUCACAGAAGAAAAUACAAAGUUUCAAAUUUCUCAAUGGUUGACUGUCACAAGUUUUUCAAGUUAGCUAAAUGGCAAUGCUGCAGCAAGGGGAGUUUAUAGUCCUGGAUAUAUUACCUGUUAACAAGGACAAUUUAUGCCUGUUGCUGUGUCGUCUGCUUAAGAGUCUAGUACAAGUGAUUGGACAAGCAUUUCUACUCAAACAGAAGAAAAUUGCUGGAUCCCUGGUCAUGCACUGGAUGGAGCAAACAGUGAUGCAGCAAAGGUACUAAUCAAAUAAAUAAAAUAGUUAAGAGAAGGAAUCAAAUGGAGAUGAACUCGAUUAAAAUAUUUCAUGUUGCUUUGGUGGGCUAUUUGAAAGAGUUGAUAAGUCCAUAGCAGGAAGGUCACUUAAGUAAAGGAUGCUCAUAAGAUGAUUCUGAAGAAAUCUGUUGAAUAGGUUCAUCAAGUUCCAAGCAUUACUGAGGUAAUAGAUCAGUAUGUUUCUGCUUCCCAUGCAGAACUCCUGAAGCUUGUACAGGGUUGUCAAGAAGUAUACCAAAUCUCAUGAUUCAGUUGUUUAGGAGGUUUUAAUUGUUACAGGUAUCCUUCUUUUUGCUAACCUCUGGGCUUAUUUAGACUGUAAAAACAUCCCUGUAGCUAAGAAAACAAGCUUUCCUUCACUCUGUUAUGCACCAAAUAUUAUUGCGAGUUUUUUUCUUCUCAUGUCUGUAAUUGUAAUAUCACCAAAUAUUUCUGAGAUCUUGUAGGGUUAAUUAUCUUCAUUGAUUAAACUAUCAGUGGCCUUCCAUGUUUUAUAAACUGUGAUUAUGUUUACAUUGAUCUUGUGGAGGUUGCCAUUUAUUGAGUUCCCGAGUUGGAUGCCGGUUAUUAAUAAUCCGAAAUCCCUCCAUUUUUUCAUCUGAAGUACUGUGAUACUGAAGGCAUAAACAAUCUAUGGUAGGUUGUUAUCCAUCAUGUUUAGUCAUGUGCACUUGACAUUAAUGAAUAUGUAUUAGGCUAUGGUAUUUAAGCGAUCAAUGACAAUGUGAAGCUGUCAGCACUGCACUAUUAAACUGGCAAGAUGUUGGAUUAAAUAUAAUCAAUUUGGCUUCCUUUUUCUGCUAUUGACUGGCUGCAAAGAACUGAAAUACUGGUUUUGGAAUUUCUUUCCAAAAUCUGCAUAUUUUCUUUUUCACUAAGUUCACAUAAACUAAUUUAUUUUGAUGGUUAUUCUUAUAAUUGAAGUAAUAUCAGACAACCUUUCCUGAACUGAUACUGGUUUUGUUUUCCCUGCAUAGAAGCCAUUCACAAAUCACUUGUUCAGAGCUAGCAGCAGUAAAAAGCAGGACCAAGAGAGAUGGCAUAUGGUCAAGGUGUAGCAUGAUAGAAUAGUGGAGAGUGCUUGAAGAUGGAUGAUGAAAAUCUGGGAAACAAUUAUAUCUAUACUGUAAGAAAUCUCUUGGAAAACUUGUUCAAACAACUGCUUCAGUUCCUUUCUCCUCAGCAAUUUGCCUGAUGAAUGGGACCCAAUUCUCACCAAGUAAUCACACAUUAGAGGAUGGAUGUGAUGUAUCUCAUUCACUUGAAUGUUUUUACUGCCUGAUGGCCAUUUUACAGGGAAAGUGAUAACCGACGAAUGAGGAUAUCUUCAAUGCAUUACACUGUUCUUAAAGGAACAAUAAUAAUGGUCUGUGUUAUCUUGCCCUGGUAUGGGCAACACCCAUGUGUCCCUGCUAAAGCAUCAAAUACCAACCCAGCACCACCACCUGAUGCCUCAACCAUUUGUCCUAAAUACAAAGUUCCAUCUUUGUUGACUUCCUGCCCCAGAACAAGCUGCAAGGUGCGUUGAUUUCUAUUUAUCUUCAUUGCAAAGUCAUUGGUCUAGCCAUGCUUUUCUCUUUUGUUUUUUUUGGUGUCUACUAGACUGAAACUUAUCUGAACUCUAGGUGGGUUAGUAAUGGCUAUUUUCUUUAAAUAAUUUCUUGUUUUGCUAUUUUAAUUUUUGGAUGAUUAUGAUGAAACAUAUAACAAUAGUGUUUGGUUGAUGUAGAGGUAUAGAAUUUCAACAUUUAACUCAAAUAGGAAUAUCAAAAUUAUUAAGCACUAAAGCAGGAUUAGAAGACACAGUAUUCCUCUCACAUCAAAAAUCCAGAGUAGCAUGAGGCUAUGAGCUAUGUGAGUACAUGGCAUUGUUUGAUUUGUAGGAUUUAUGCAUAUUUAAUUUUAGCUUUAUCACAAAUGAGAUCUAGAGAAGAAAAAAACUAUCCCUUUCCUUUAGCAUAUCUCUAACCAAACACUGAAAUAUGAAACCAGAUUUGGAUCUAGAGUCAUGUGUGACAAAUCAGGUUAUAGUUUUGGGUUGUUAUCCAUCAGGGAAUGGCCUUUAUUUAUUUGUUUAUUUAUUCAUUUUAUUUUUAUUUUUAUUUUUAAUUCCGGCAACUAUCAUUACUACUAAAACUGGACAUUAGGGAGUAAGUUGUGGGCUGGACGUAAUGAAAGGCCUGGUCUAUUCUAUUCAUAAUGGUGCACAUGCAAACAAACAGUGACAACCAUCUUAAUUCUUGUUUGGUAUGACCUAACACUGGCCUCUCAUCAUGCUCCACUGGAGAUAUUCAGCUUGCCCCAUACCCUGCUCUAACCCUAACCCUAACCCUAACCCUAACCCUAAUUGAUGCCAUUGCCAAAUAAUGACACACCCACGUGCACAUCCCAUCCACAUGUGGCGAGCCAUUUCCUUGUCACCAUUAGUUCUGGUUGUUGCCCCAUCGACCAUAUGAGCUCCCUCCAGAUCAACCAUCCUAUUUACCUCUUUAUAAUUAUCACUUUGUGAUUUUUCUCUGUAAAAAAUGAUAGUAAUAACUUUCAUUUUUAGAUUAUUGAGUUACAUAAUAACAGCAAUAUACUCAUUUCAUUUUAUUACUAUUUUUUUAAUGUUAGCAAAUAUAUAAAUUUUUAGUAGAAGCAGAACAGAUACUAACUAAACUAAUAAUAAAUAUUCGCAAACAGGGAUUCGUCCUACCUAACAAAUAAUGAAUAGUCCAAUAACAGUGACAGGGAAAUAAGGAUCAUCACUCGUUUAGUUGCUUUGCUUGUUCCCACUAGCUCUCUUGAGUAUAUUCAGUCCUCUUUAAAGUCCAUGCUUGCACGG